UACAGAGGUCCCAAGCGUUGUUCGGAUUCACUGGGCGUAAAGGGUGCGUAGGUGGCGAAGUAAGUCGGAUGUGAAAUCUCCGAGCUCAACUCGGAAAUGGCAUUGGAAACUACUUUGCUCGAGGGUCGGAGGGGGGACUGGAAUUCUCGGUGUAGCAGUGAAAUGCGUAGAUAUCGAGAGGAACACCAGUGGCGAAGGCGAGUCCCUGGACGACUCCUGACACUGAGGCACGAAAGCUAGGGGAGCAAACCGG
rnacentral:rRNA from 1 species